rnacentral:rRNA from 1 species
AUUGAACGCUGGCGGCAUGCUUUACACAUGCAAGUCGAACGGUAACAGGCCGCAAGGUGCUGACGAGUGGCGAACGGGUGAGUAAUGCAUCGGAACGUGCCCAGUCGUGGGGGAUAACGCAGCGAGAGCUGCGCUAAUACCGCAUACGAUCUGUGGAUGAAAGCGGGGGACCGUAAGGCCUCGCGCGAUUGGAGCGGCCGAUGUCAGAUUAGGUAGUUGGUGGGGUAAAGGCUCACCAAGCCAACGAUCUGUAGCUGGUCUGAGAGGACGACCAGCCACACUGGGACUGAGACACGGCCCAGACUCCUACGGGAGGCAGCAGUGGGGAAAUUUGGACAAUGGGCGCAAGCCUGAUCCAGCAAUGCCGCGUGCAGGAAGAAGGCCUUCGGGUUGUAAACUGCUUUUGUACGGAACGAAACGGUCUUGGUUAAUACCUGGGGCUAAUGACGGUACCGUAAGAAUAAGCACCGGCUAACUACGUGCCAGCCGCCGCAGUAAGAC